rnacentral:rRNA from 1 species
AACGGUAGCACAGAGAGCUUGCUCUCGGGUGACGAGUGGCGGACGGGUGAGUAAUGUCUGGGAAACUGCCUGAUGGAGGGGGAUAACUACUGGAAACGGUAGCUAAUACCGCAUAACGUCGCAAGACCAAAGAGGGGGACCUUCGGGCCUCUUGCCAUCAGAUGUGCCCAGAUGGGAUUAGCUAGUAGGUGGGGUAACGGCUCACCUAGGCGACGAUCCCUAGCUGGUCUGAGAGGAUGACCAGCCACACUGGAACUGAGACACGGUCCAGACUCCUACGGGAGGCAGCAGUGGGGAAUAUUGCACAAUGGGCGCAAGCCUGAUGCAGCCAUGCCGCGUGUAUGAAGAAGGCCUUCGGGUUGUAAAGUACUUUCAGCGGGGAGGAAGGUGUUGCGGUUAAUAACCGCAGCAAUUGACGUUACCCGCAGAAGAAGCACCGGCUAACUCCGUGCCAGCAGCCGCGGUAAUACGGAGGGUGCAAGCGUUAAUCGGAAUUACUGGGCGUAAAGCGCACGCAGGCGGUCUGUCAAGUCGGAUGUGAAAUCCCCGGGCUCAACCUGGGAACUGCAUUCGAAACUGGCAGGCUAGAGUCUUGUAGAGGGGGGUAGAAUUCNCAGGUGUAGCGGUGAAAUGCGUAGAGAUCUGGAGGAAUACCGGUGGCGAAGGCGGC